rnacentral:miRNA from 1 species
GGAACAAGCUGUUAACAACUUGUAACAAGCUUCAUGGAAUUAUCAGAUUUGUUACAAGGUUGUUCUAACAAGUCUGAUACAGCCAUGACAUAACAAGAAUAUUACAAGGUUGACAACACAAGGUUGUAACAAUAUUGUUAUAUCAUGACUGUAUCGGACUUGUUGAAACAACCUUGCAAAAAGUCAGAUAAUAUCAACAAGGUUGUUACAAGUUGUUCCAUACUUGUUGACAACUUGGAAC